GUUUAGGCUGCUAAAAAAUAUCUAUCUAUCAGUAGUUUUAACAAAAUACAAAGGUCAUACAUAUUGACAAAUGGUUUGCUAUAGCAGAGAGGCUUGGCUUGGAGCGUGUAUCUAUUCUCGUCUCUUCUCUCGGACAGCAUUGUCAUGUGACACUUGUGUUCUGCAUACAUAUUUGUUCAUUGCCGGAAAGUUUCAUCCUUUUCGUUUGAGUUACUAUGGAAAAAUGUUUGAUUUGACUGCUGAAAAAUUCAUGGCCAAAGAAAUUGAAGUGUUGGUGGCGGUUGUUUGCCAUGUUUCAAAUGCUUGACAAAGGAAGGAUUUGACAGACAAAACUGUCCAGGUAAAUUUCCUUCACAUAAUCUAUGAAAUGUAUUUGGUGUGAUGUGUCGAAUACAUGUUCAUGUACUUGGAAAACUUCUGUCUAACUACAUCUUAUAACUUUUUUACUUUUACUUUUUGAACAUUUAUGCCAAUAUAAAUGAAAAUAUCACAAUAGUUAGAUAAUUUAUCACGUCUACAAUAUCAGUUCCAUGUUUAAAAUUUGUAUUUUAUGUUAGUGUUAAUUUCAGAAUAGUUUUACACGUAGUAUAGCCGAAUCAUAUCCCAUCAUUUUAAAAAAAAUUGCGGAAUACCUUUUUCUUGAUUUUAUCUCUGCUUUCAAUCCUCUUUUUACUUAUCGAUGGGGGAAAGUAAUUGUACUAGUUACUGUAGUAUUUUUUUUGGUAUAGUACGAAAGCUAAAAAAAAAAAAAAAAAAAAAAAAAAAACAAAGACAACAAAAAGGAAAAAGCCAACUAAAGGAAGGCUAAAUCAAGGGAGAAGCUAUCCAGCACAGCUUGCGGUGGAGUUCUCCAAGAGCACCACUUCCAGGAAGACUUUGCCCCAAGUUUGGCAAGGAUAUCAGCAACAGCAUUGGAACCACGGGGAGUAUGAGUCACCAAGACAGUCCAACACUUCUCCAAAAAGCUGCGAAUUUGGAGGAUCACCUGUGCAUGAGGGUGAAAAUUCAGAUCAGAUUGCCCGUUUACAGCAUUAACCACAUUCAAGGCAUCACUUUCACACAUACUGUAGUAUAAAUCUAUUUUAUGCCUGUUAUAUCUUGGUCUGGAGGUAAGACUAAGACUUUGCCUCUAUUUUCGCCGGUGCAUCAAUUUGUGUAAUCUUUUAUUAGAAUGCCUUUCAAACAAUUUGAAUGCUGUUCUAAUAUGGUUCAGUAUUCUAGUUUGUUACAGAAGUAUGAAAAGAUAGAUGUCAUUGUGCCACAUGCUGCUGCAAAUCCUUCUGUUAAUGCUAUUUUGCAAAACAAGAGUCGGUCCUUUACAAGCUGUGGGAGAUGAUUGUCAAGGCCUCUUUAAAUGCUUCUGAAGAAGGGUUCUUUCAUUAUCAUUUCUCCAGGUGCUGGUUAUGAUCUGCUAGCUUCUUUGGCUAUGUAUGGAGUGAGAAAAACAGCUCUUCUGGGACUUACCAAUAUUAGUACUUGGCUUGCCAUUUUUCAUUCAUGAAACCAAAUUCGGUGAAGUAAAAAAUUUCAUGCAUUCACAAUCUGAGAAUUGUAAUACAUUUUUUGGUGCUUCCACAAAAUGGUGAAUACUGUUAAGGUGGUCUGGACAGUAUAAAGAAAGCCAUUAAAAGCACAAUUGACGAGACUAGAUUGCAUGAAUUUUUGUUUGUUGAAAACAGAAAAAGGAGAAAGACCAAGAACUUAAGGGAGCAAAUAACAUGAGGAAAAGAAACAUGUCUUAAAUUUUUUAAUAAAUUAAAGGUUUUAUGCUUUUAAUUCAGGAUUGAAAAGGUGAUGGAAAUUUAUUUACAGGAAUAAUGGGUAAUGGUAGUAUGCUCUACACAGUGCUGCAUACUUCUCAAGGUGAUCCUCACUUUUGUAACACAUUAUACAACACAACAACUAUGCAAAAGAAUCUACCU